AUGAUUCAUCAUCUCUUCUUCUGGUGCCUGACAGGUAUCUGUCUGGGUAUUGAAGUCCGCCAGACUCCCUCCGAGUUUAUCACAGAUGUUGGAUCCAAAGUGCAGAUUUUCUGCAGCCAUGAAAAGACUGACUACAGGGUGAUGCUGUGGUACCAGCAGUCACCCGGAGAGACAGCUAUGAAACUCAUUGGAUUUUUAAACGUCAAAGCUGUCACAUUUGACCAAGACCAAUAUAAAGAUCAUUUUGAUUUUACAGGAGAUUUGAGUGGGGAUACAGCAAAAAACGGCUCUCUGAUAGUCAAAGUGGCACAACAUGAGAACAGUGCAGUGUACUACUGUGCAGCUAGAUAUGCACAAUGA